rnacentral:rRNA from 1 species
UUAUUUUUUAAUAAUUAAUUUUUAUAUAAUUUUUAUAUAAUUAAUAUUUUAGUUAUUUAUAGGAAUAAAUAUUAUAAUAUAAUAAUAUUUUAAUAAUGAUAAAAUAAGUAUUUUAUAUAUAUAAAAUAUAGUAACUCGGCAAAUAUUAUUUUCGCCUGUUUAACAAAAACAUGGUCUUUUGUUUAUAUAAAAGAUCUAACCUGCCCUAUGAUUUAUUUAAAUGGCUGCAGUAUUUUGACUGUACAAAGGUAGCAUAAUCAUUUGUCUUUUAAUUGAAGGCUCGUAUGAAUGGUUGGAUGAAAAAUAUACUUUCUUUAUUUUAUAUAAAAAAUUUAAUUUUCUAGUCAAAAAGCUAGGAUUUUUUUAUAGGACGAGAAGACCCUAUAGAACUUUAUUUUCUUUUUUUAUAAACUUUAUAGAUAAAUAUAAGUUUAUAUAUUUUUGUUAAUUUUGUUGGGGUGAUUGAAAAAAUUUUUUAACUUUUUCUAUUUUUUACAUUUAUAUAUGUUUUUUUGAUCCUUUAUUAUGGAAUAAAAGAUUAAGUUACCUUAGGGAUAACAGCGUUAUUUUUUUGGAGAGUUCUUAUCGAUAAAAAAGUUUGCGACCUCGAUGUUGG